rnacentral:rRNA from 1 species
CCCUUAGAUGUUCUGGGCCGCACGCGCGCUACACUGAUGAAUUCAACGAGCUCCUAACCUAGGUCGAAGGGUCCGGGUAAUCUUUGAAAUUUCAUCGUGAUGGGGAUAGAUUAUUGCAAUUAUUAAUCUUCAACGAGGAAUUCCUAGUAAGCGCGAGUCAUCAGCUCGCGUUGAUUACGUCCCUGCCCUUUGUACACACCGCCCGUCGCUCCUACCGAUUGAAUGGUCCGGUGAAAUGUUCGGACCGCGACAAGGCGGACGGUUCGCUGUCAGCUUUGCUGCGGGAAGUUCAUUAAACCUUAUCAUUUAGAGGAAGGAGAANUCGUANCA